rnacentral:rRNA from 1 species
UACGUAGGUCCCGAGCGUUGUCCGGAUUUAUUGGGCGUAAAGCGAGCGCAGGUGGUUUAUUAAGUCUGGUGUAAAAGGCAGUGGCUCAACCAUUGUAUGCAUUGGAAACUGGUAGACUUGAGUGCAGGAGAGGAGAGUGGAAUUCCAUGUGUAGCGGUGAAAUGCAUAGAUAUCACGCAGAACCCCGAUUGCGAAGGCAGCAUACCGGUGCACAACUGACGCUCAGGCACGAAAGCGUGGGUAUCGAACAGG